rnacentral:rRNA from 1 species
ACCGACGAUGCGUAGGGGUUCUGAGAGGAAGGCCCCCCACACUGGUACUGAGACACGGACCAGACUCCUACGGAAGGCAGCAG